rnacentral:rRNA from 1 species
UGUCGUCAGCUCGUGUUGUGAAAUGUUGGGUUAAGUCCCGCAACGAGCGCAACCCUUAUCCUUUGUUGCCAGCGGUCCGGCCGGGAACUCAAAGGAGACUGCCAGUGAUAAACUGGAGGAAGGUGGGGAUGACGUCAAGUCAUCAUGGCCCUUACGACCAGGGCUACACACGUGCUACAAUGGCGCAUACAAAGAGAAGCGACCUCGCGAGAGCAAGCGGACCUCAUAAAGUGCGUCGUAGUCCGGAUUGGAGUCUGCAACUCGACUCCAUGAAGUCGGAAUCGCUAGUAAUCGUGG